AGUGAACGCUGGCGGUAGGCCUAACGCAUGCAAGUCGAACGGCAGCACAGUAAGAGCUUGCUCUUACGGGUGGCGAGUGGCGGACGGGUGAGGAAUACAUCGGAAUCUACUUUUUCGUGGGGGAUAACGUAGGGAAACUUACGCUAAUACCGCAUACGACCUACGGGUGAAAGCAGGGGAUCUUCGGACCUUGCGCGAUUGAAUGAGCCGAUGUCGGAUUAGCUAGUUGGCGGGGUAAAGGCCCACCAAGGCGACGAUCCGUAGCUGGUCUGAGAGGAUGAUCAGCCACACUGGAACUGAGACACGGUCCAGACUCCUACGGGAGGCAGCAGUGGGGAAUAUUGGACAAUGGGCGCAAGCCUGAUCCAGCCAUACCGCGUGGGUGGAGAAGGCCUUCGGGUUGUAAAGCCCUUUUGUUGGGAAAGAAAAGCAGCAGGUUAAUACCCCGCUGUUCUGACGGUACCCAAAGAAUAAGCACCGGCUAACUUCGUG
rnacentral:rRNA from 1 species